AAAUUGAAGAGUUUGAUCAUGGCUCAGAUUGAACGCUGGCGGCAGGCCUAACACAUGCAAGUCGAGCGGUAGCACAGAGAGCUUGCUCUCGGGUGACGAGCGGCGGACGGGUGAGUAAUGUCUGGGAAACUGCCUGAUGGAGGGGGAUAACUACUGGAAACGGUAGCUAAUACCGCAUAAUGUCGCAAGACCAAAGUGGGGGACCUUCGGGCCUCAUGCCAUCAGAUGUGCCCAGAUGGGAUUAGCUAGUAGGUGGGGUAACGGCUCACCUAGGCGACGAUCCCUAGCUGGUCUGAGAGGAUGACCAGCCACACUGGAACUGAGACACGGUCCAGACUCCUACGGGAGGCAGCAGUGGGGAAUAUUGCACAAUGGGCGCAAGCCUGAUGCAGCCAUGCCGCGUGUGUGAAGAAGGCCUUCGGGUUGUAAAGCACUUUCAGCGGGGAGGAAGGCGGUGAGGUUAAUAACCUCAUCGAUUGACGUUACCCGCAGAAGAAGCACCGGCUAACUCCGUGCCAGCAGCCGCGGUAAUACGGAGGGUGCAAGCGUUAAUCGGAAUUACUGGGCGUAAAGCGCACGCAGGCGGUCUGUCAAGUCGGAUGUGAAAUCCCCGGGCUCAACCUGGGAACUGCAUUCGAAACUGGCAGGCUAGAGUCUUGUAGAGGGGGGUAGAAUUCCAGGUGUAGCGGUGAAAUGCGUAGAGAUCUGGAGGAAUACCGGUGGCCGRA
rnacentral:rRNA from 1 species